rnacentral:lncRNA from 10 species
CGCUGCUGCAGUGUUGUUGUGGCUGUGAGAAGGCGGCGGCGGAGUAGCAGCAGCCGGACCAGACUCCCUAGUAGCUCAGGCGCUGCACUGCGCCGGCCCUGGCAGGGAGCCUGGUGAGAUGGUGGAGGAGGAGGCUGUGCCGUGGCUGGCCUUGCUAUGUCCUGCUGCCUGAUCCUUCACUGAAUUCAACCCAGUCUACUCAACAGUUCACCAAGAGUCUUGCUAUCUCCAAUUUCAGGAUAUGCUUUCCAUCACCAAUACCCAGUCAGCUUUCAAAAGUCAGACUACAACUGAAUCAAAGAAUUACACAAGAAAAGGGAAACUGAGUCAUCCUUCAGCAACUCCAGGAACAAAUCAAGGUACAUAUAAUGAUGGGGUAGUAAAUGCUAAUACCAUCUAUCUCCUUCCCUUGUAUCCAUCCCUGUUUUUGUUCCCCUCUUUCCACUCUGGCUUCCUAUUCUCCCUUUUUGGCAAAAUAUCCACUAUCCUUGAAGAAAGCGAACCAGCAAACCUGCUAAUAUUAAAGCUUCAGUGACCCAAUAGGUAGCUACACUUUGAGGAACAUUUGCAUUUCCAAAGAAAUUAUCUGAAGACAAAAAUGUCUAAUUCAAUGGGCUGAAAUGCAAAUUGUAAUAUUUCAGGCUAGAAAGAUAUCUAACCCAAGGAACUUCCUUAUCAUGCUCUGAGAGACAGUAGGCUGCCUCAUGGAAGGCCGUUAUAGAUGUCCAACUAAACAUUGCAAAAAAACAGGUAUAGAAGCAUUGGCUUGGGACUGAGAAAUGAUAUUCAUUUGGUGCAAAAGUAAUUGUGAUUUUUUGCCCUUGAAAAUGAUGGUUAAAACUGCAAUGACUUUUGCAUCAACCUAUGGAUUAGUAAUUGAUACACAAAGACAUGACACAUGAGAAUACCAAGUGCACUGCUUGGCACAUGGUAGACAUUCAACAAAUGCUUCUCACUGACAACUUUUGCUUUCCUCCUCAAUCACCCACUUUUUAGAAUCCUUGAAAAAAUCUUACAAAUUUUUCAAAUAUUCAGGAAACUUAAAUAACAUCAGAUUUAGAGAAGACUUAUUGACUGUAGCCAAUUUUUGGACCUAUACAUUUUUUAAACUAUGUGAUGGGAAUCUCUUCAUUUUUUAGAGCAACAUGGAUGCAUAUCAAUUACGAACCUUGCUAAAUCAUCCUAUCUCUGAGGCAAUAAAAUUCAUUAUCCUGGUUAGUUUGAGGAUACACUUAACCCAUAAACACCAACAGCAAGUAUAGAUUCAGACAUUUGUAUCUAUAAUUUAGACAGUUUAAAAUGCAAUAUUAAGUAAUUCAAAAAUUGUUCAAAGCUCAGUACCUUUUCA